rnacentral:rRNA from 1 species
GACGAACGCUGGCGGCGUGCUUAACACAUGCAAGUCGAACGGUGAAGUAGAGCUUGCUCUAUGGAUCAGUGGCGAACGGGUGAGUAACACGUGGGCAACCUGCCCCAGACUCUGGGAUAACUCCUCGAAAGAGGGGCUAAUACCGGAUAUUUGCAUUGCAAGACGUCUUGUGAUGCAGAAAGAAUUUCGGUCUGGGAUGGGCCCGCGGCCUAUCAGCUUGUUGGCGAGGUAACGGCUCACCAAGGCGACGACGGGUAGCCGGCCUGAGAGGGCGACCGGCCACACUGGGACUGAGACACGGCCCAGACUCCUACGGGAGGCAGCAGUGGGGAAUAUUGGGCAAUGGGCGCAAGCCUGACCCAGCAACGCCGCGUGAGGGAUGAAGGUCCUCGGAUUGUAAACCUCUUUCAGCAGGGACGAAGCGAAAGUGACGGUACCUGCAGAAGAAGCACCGGCUAACUACGUGCCAGCCGCCGCGGUAA